rnacentral:misc_RNA from 1 species
GAUGAAGAACGUAGCGAAUUGCGAUAUGUAAUGUGAAUUGCAGAAUUCAGUGAAUCAUCGAAUCUUUGAACGCACAUUGCACCCUUUGGUAUUCCGAAGGGUAUGCCUGUUUGAGUAUCAUUAAUAUAUCAAUCUAAAUGAUUUGUUAAUUAUUUAGACUUGGAUUUGAAGGUUUGCUGGUUUUAUAAUUAGCUCCUUUUAAAUAUAUUAGCGGAACGUUGUAGGACCAGCUUCGGUUUGAUAAUCCUAUCUAUGCUGUUGCUGUGUGCUCUUGUGUUCAGCUUAUAAUCGUCUGUUAGCUCAGACUGUCUCAUUUAGAGGCAUUUUAUAUCUUGAUCUCAAAUCAGGUAGGACUACCCGCUGAACUUAAGCAUAUCAAUAAGCGGAGGA